UUUUGUAGAUCUUAUUGAGAUACAUGUGUGUGUCAAAUUUUGUGUCAUUUUUACAAAGCGUAAAGGCGUGACAGUCAACAAUGUGUAUUUUCGCCUUAGGAGACAAGAAAAAAAUGGACUUUUUUCUCCUGCCAUGGGGGGGCGCUAUUUUGGCGAGUAAAAAUUCCUUCACAAAUGUGUUGAUGGCUGGACAUUGCAUCAUCCUAGAGAACUUGGAGGCCAGUGAGGACAAAAAUAAAAAGUUAUAAGACUUUUAAGACUGUGGAUAUUUGGGUUAUCUUUGGCGCCCCCUAGAACGUAAACCGUGGGGUGCAGCAUCAUGAUUUGUACAACUUUUAAUGGCCAUGGGGUGUAGAUUGGCCUGAGCAAAUGUGGUGCUGGUGGAACGAAAGCCUUCGGAGGAGUUAGCGAAAUUCCAAUGUGUGCGGAUCGGCAAAAAAUGCGAAAUAACCCUUUAACCGUACAUUUGACAGAUACGCCCGCACUGGCUUUUUUGUAGAUCUUAUUGAGAUACAUGUGUAUGUCAAUUUUUGUGUCAAUAUGACAAAGCGUAAAGGCGUGACAGUCAAUAGUGUGAAUUUUCGCCUUAGGAGACAAGAAAAAAUGGACUUUUUCUCCUGCCAUGGGGGGGCGCUCUUUUGGCGAGUAAAAAUUCCUUCACAAAUGUGUUGAUGGCUGGACAUUGCAUCAUCCUAGAGAACUUGGAGGCCAGUGAGGACAAAAAUAAAAAGUUAUAAGACUUUUAAGACUGUGGAUUUUUGGGUUAUCUUUGGCGCCCCCUAGAACGUAAACCGUGGGGUGCAGCGUCAUGAUUUGUACAACUUUUAUUGGCCAUGGGGUGUAGAUUGGCCUGAGCAAAUGUGGUGCCGGUGGAACGAAAGCCUUCGGAGGAGUUAGCGAAAUUCCAAUGUGUGCGGAUCGGCAAAAAAUGCGAAAUAACCCUUUAACCGUACAUUUGACAGAUACGCCCGCACUGACUUUUUCGUAGAUCUUAUUGAGAUACAUGUGUGUGUCAAUUUUUGUGUCAAUAUGACAAAGCGUAAAGGCGUGACAGUCAAUAGUGUGAAUUUUCACCUUAGGGGGCGCUUUGGAGCCAUUUUGCAUUUUAUUGUUUGGGCGACUUCAGAAUAUCGAAUUUUUCACCAGGCCCGGUCGUCCUGCCAAAUUUCAUGAGUUUUCGCCAGUGGGAAGUGGGCCAUUUUCCCCUUCAAAGGGGAGGAAAAAUAAGAAGAAAGAAAGAAAGAAAGAAAGAAGAAAGAACUAGGACCCCGUUGGGGCACUGGCG